AGUGAACGCUGGCGGUAGGCCUAACACAUGCAAGUCGAACGGCAGCACAGAGGAGCUUGCUCCUUGGGUGGCGAGUGGCGGACGGGUGAGGAAUACAUCGGAAUCUACUCUGUCGUGGGGGAUAACGUAGGGAAACUUACGCUAAUACCGCAUACGACCUACGGGUGAAAGCAGGGGACCUUCGGGCCUUGCGCGAUUGAAUGAGCCGAUGUCGGAUUAGCUAGUUGGCGGGGUAAAGGCCCACCAAGGCGACGAUCCGUAGCUGGUCUGAGAGGAUGAUCGGCCACACUGGAACUGAGACACGGUCCAGACUGCUACGGGAGGCAUCAGUGGGGAAUAUUGGACAAUGGGCGCAAGCCUGAUCCAGCCAUACCGCGUGGGUGAAGAAGGCCUUCGGGUUGUAAAGCCCUUUUGUUGGGAAAGAAAUCCAGCUGGCUAAUACCCGGUUGGGAUGACGGUACCCAAAGAAUAAGCACCGGCUAACUUCGUGCCAGCAGCCGCCGCAG
rnacentral:rRNA from 1 species